GAUGAACGCUGGCGGCGUGCCUAAUACAUGCAAGUCGAGCGAACAGACGAGGAGCUUGCUCCUCUGACGUUAGCGGCGGACGGGUGAGUAACACGUGGAUAACCUACCUAUAAGACUGGGAUAACUUCGGGAAACCGGAGCUAAUACCGGAUAAUAUAUUGAACCGCAUGGUUCAAUAGUGAAAGACGGUUUUGCUGUCACUUAUAGAUGGAUCCGCGCCGCAUUAGCUAGUUGGUAAGGUAACGGCUUACCAAGGCAACGAUGCGUAGCCGACCUGAGAGGGUGAUCGGCCACCACGGAACUGAGACACGGUCCAGACUCCUACGGGAGGCAGCAGUAGGGAAUCUUCCGCAAUGGGCGAAAGCCUGACGGAGCAACGCCGCGUGAGUGAUGAAGGUCUUCGGAUCGUAAAACUCUGUUAUUAGGGAAGAACAAAUGUGUAAGUAACUAUGCACGUCUUGACGGUACCUAAUCAGAAAGCCACGGCUAACUACGUG
rnacentral:rRNA from 1 species